CAGACACUUAACGACUGAGUCACCCAGGCGCCCCUGUCAUGCUUUUUCCUGAUGGGUCAUUAAAUGUUUAGGUGGGCUCUAGGGAGCACUCUGCCACCCAACAUUGGAAUGGGAGAAAUGGCAGGCUAAGGUUAAUAGCUAAUGCCCCUGGGCCCUGUUGUGACACCAUAAUGGUUACUGUUGAUUGGACAGUUGUAGGCUUUGAGACCGGUGAUUGAGACAAGGCCCUUUGUUCAAGACUGAUUCAGCUGUUGGACCUGCAGGAGCCUGAGUGGUGAGUAGGUUCUCUACCCUACCCCACACCCAGAAGAGGAGGGAGACCAUGAAAUUGUGCAGCUAGAAUUUGGAGAAUUCCUUCCCUCCCUAAUGUGUAGAAUAACUGUUGACAAAGAAGUCAGAGUGAACGGAAUCAUUGAAGCCAGCUGGUACUUCUGUAUAGUAACAUACCCAAGAAUAUUUCAUUUUUAAAACAAAAAAAUACACCCAGAAGAAAACUUCUUAAGGCAAAAUGCUGUCUACAGUUACUGCUUUACAUUUAUUCAGUGAUUGGCUCUGCCCCUGAAGGACUUUGCAGCCAGUUGAAGACAGAAGACAAAACACAUAAGGAAUUCCUGCUCCAGUUGUCUGGUGUUUGGUGAUCUUGGGGGAUAUGGGAAAUUCACAGAGAAGUCCUAAAACAAAAAUAAUUUUACUUCUAUUUAAUUUAUGAGCUAUGUAUCAUCAGUACAGCUUUUUAGUAAAAUACAGUUUAUAAAGUCAAGUGAUAGUAAAUCUCAACUCCAAAGAAAGAGGAAAGGAAGAAUUAGCAACCUCUCAACAAGAGGAUAGUUUCAAGUAUGUUCAUAAACAUGAUGAAAAAGCUCCAAAUCUGCUCUGCUUAGGAGCUCCUGAGAGCCCAGGAAGGUUGAGCCUUUUAUUGUGGAGGUUAAAAAGUAAGUGGACAGUUAGUUGCCAGGUGAGGUGGUAGUUCCUCACCUCCCUCCUGGGAGCGGGUUUUACUGUAGGGCAAUCACAGGGGGAAGCUGGAGAAUGUGAUCCAAGAAGAACAUGAGAAAGAUCCUUCCAGAAACUUGUCCUGACUGAGCAGAACUCCAAAUAGAACAUCACAGUAGCUGCUUAUUGUUCAGACCUCAAGAUCACACCUGGAACGUAGAGCCAAAGCACAUCUCAGCCGGCUUGGUCUCGCCAUGGAUAUGAGUCUGAGUACCAUGCAUGCCCGCCUCAGUGUUAAGACUUCUGUGGUGACAAGUAAUGGAAUUGUCUGGAGCUAGCUUGCUUAGAGGAGACCUUUAUUCUAGGAUACAGGAUUGCUUGGGUAGAAGAUGCCUUACUCUAAGAUCCUCAGCUGCUCUGUCAUGGGUCCGGCCUCUGGAGACGGUCUCUUCGUUCCAGUUCGUCAGACUGAGAGAGGCUGUGGUCCAGCUGUGCUCCAGUGCUGGCCGUAGACCGGUCAUCCCUAGCCGUGGGAAUGGAGGGCUCCUACGGCAGACACAUGGCUCCUGGCGGUGUCGGGGUGGUGAGGGAGGGAUGUUACGGGGUCCACUCUGAACUGAGAGGACACUCUGAAAAGCUUUCCACUCCAUGUAGCAAAUCUGUUAGCUGGAUAUGUACCCUGCAAAGGUGUCAGGAGGGGCACCAGGUGCCUUCUGCCUUGAAGUAAGUCUGAGUGGCUUUUCUUUCACCCCUUAUUUCUGGCUUCUGUCAACCAGUUGAAGGAUGGGACAGCUAGCCCUUUCAGAUGGGGUGGGCAGAGUGAGAACACCCCAUUAGGAGCUUUGGCAAACCCUGUCUCCUAUGGCUAGGGGUUUGUGAACAUUUCGUAUCAAGUCUGAUUUAUUCUGGAACUGUGCAGAAAAUCAGCUUCACCCAGCCCCUUCACCCGACCUGAGUCGAGUGGGAGUGCUGGGUGAGGGUGGCUGGCAGCAGCUGUGCUUAUUUACCUCUGACUGCUUGGGAGGGGGUCCGGUCCUCCCAGGGUGUCCCGCAUCUGGGUCUCUAGACGGAGCCGGGCUGCGGCAGUUGGGUGAAGCUGCAGAAAGUUAGUGGGGGUAUGUCGCCGCUAGGGCUGAUUGAUUUCAAGAUCACAGGGCAGGCACACCUAGACCUGAGGAAUGUGGGAGCUGGAUGAGAGCUUGUAAGCCGUCUGGUUCCACACUC